ACGGGCUCCUAUCGAAGCCGUUCGUGUUCUCAUGUAGCAGUGAACGGUCAUCAGGAUGCCUAGAAGAAGACUUUCACCGACGGUCGCUGUUCAGUUUGAAGUAACUGUUACAGCAACAUUAAGGGGAAGGACAUUC